GAUGAACGCUAGCGGCAGGCCUAAUACAUGCAAGUCGAACGAGAUUAAGAGGCUUGCUUCUUAUGAAAGUGGCGCACGGGUGCGUAACGCGUAUGCAACCUACCUUAAUCAGGGGGAUAGCCCGAAGAAAUUCGGAUUAAGACCGCAUAAAAACACAGGAUAGCAUUAUCCAAUGUUCAAAUAUUUAUAGGAUUAAGAUGGGCAUGCGUGUCAUUAGCUAGUUGGCGGGGUAACGGCCCACCAAGGCGACGAUGACUAGGGGAUCUGAGAGGAUGACCCCCCAGACUGGGACUGAGAAACGGACCAGACUCAUACGGGAGGCAGCAGUAAGGAAGAUUGGUCAAGGGAGGGAACUCUGAACCAGCCAUGCCGCGUGCAGGAAGACAGCCCUCUGGGUCGUAAACUGCUUUUAUUCGGGAAUAAACCUUUCUACGUGUAGGAAGCUGAAUGUACCGAAGGAAUAAGGAUCGGCUAACUCCGUG
rnacentral:rRNA from 1 species